ensembl:lncRNA
AAGAUAACUAAUUUCUAUCUUUGUGUAUGUGUUUUUACAGGACUUUAUGUUUUUCUAACAUUUGAAGAUGGAUAUACUGCAAGAAUUUGUAAGACCUGCGACAUACUUACAGAAAAGGAGUCGCCAAUUACUAGCUUUGAGGGACUCAUUCCAGGAGCUCGAGUUCUUGCAAGAUGGUCAGACAACAAAUUUUAUAAUGCCACUGUAGAUCACAUUGGGUUUUGUGACCAAAAGCAGGACCCGAGAAAGGGUGCAAAGAAGGACAUAAAAAGAAAUUAUGCAUCUGCUGAAUCAUUUUAUAACCAGAAUCAGGUCGCUUCUGCACCAGCUGAACAUGGUCCUUCCUCUGCACUAACCCAGCCUCCGUCUCCAGGAUUGCCACCAACCCAACAUCAAUCUGUGCAAUUACCAUGCUCUGUUAAGCCUUUUAAUCCACAGCCCAUGACACCAUCUGAGUAUUGUAAUCAAGACCAGCCAGGUUUCUUAGAUUUAGAUGAACAUCAAAGACAAACCAUUACACAUAAUUCAACCCCAAAAGAAACAUUUUUGGGGCUUCUGUAUAACCCGUCUAUACCUCACCCCUCAGCUGAAGUUACAAUUCAGGAUGACCAGCUUGGGUUAGAGCCUGAGGAGUAUGAAGAUCCCACAGUCAGAUCACAGAAUUCUUCCUAUGAAAAUGAACAAUGGGAGCCAUGUGAAACAUGCAAGCUGGAGGUACAGGCAUUACUUAAAGAGAAUAAGAUGAUGAAAGAUGUGCUUUCCAGCAUGAGUAAGUAAAAUGAUUGCAUGUAAAGGGACAUUUCUGAUUCAUUAAUAAUUCCUCAACCACUGUAAAAGCUUUUACUCCUACCUUUUUUGUUUCAGAUCUUGAACACCUACAGGUACUCAGAGAAUUUAUAGAUAAGAUGGAAGACUACAAAUCACGUGAAAGUGGGGUGCUGAUGCCUCAAACCAGACCUGGCCAACAAGAACUUUACCCAGACAGUGGGCUGCUCUUGUCCUCUACCAAACUAGCAGCUAUUCACCAAGAGUCAAAGAAGGACUGUCUUCGUCUUUUCCAUCUACUGUUUGAUCAGUUCUUCACUCAUGAAGAAUGUUCAAACUCUGUAGCAUUUGGAAAGCAUGGCAAAGUCCCAGAGGGCAAGACAAUUUUGGAUAAAAGUAAAGUAAAUGGAAUACUAAGUAAGUUCCUAAAUCCUUUUUAUCAAAUGUCAACUUCAUGUUCCAUACAUUUAAUCUAAUGUUUGGUCAUGUUAUAGGCACAAUGGGAUUAAAAGUAUAGUUACAGUAUUUCCCUUGACCAGUUCAUGUAACAUUUUCCCUUUUUCCCCAAUUGUAGCUUAUGUCAUGAGCUGCGGCAAAUGUCAUGGAUGGAAACCAGUUGAAAAGUCAAAGCUGAAGAAAGCCCUUAUAAACAAGUGUCGCAUGAGAUCAACUUAAAUGUUUAUGUAAUUGUAGUGUUACAUCAAUGAUGUUGUGUCAUUUACUGGUAUUUUAUUUUGCUGUUUCUGUAUUUAAGUAUCUAUAUGUAGCUGUGCUGCAGUCUAGAAUUUGUUAGUUUUUUUUUUUUAAAUGCUGCUUAUAAAGUGUAAAAAAGAAACUAUAUAUUUUAGUUUGAUAUUGUAGAAAACUUGUUUCUCUAAGAUUAAAAUAUGUGUCUUUACAGAGAUUGCAAAGUAUAAACAUAACUCAUGUGCAGUAUCUAACACUAUUUAAUUUUUUUUUUUUUUAUUUGAAGUGCCUUGUAAAAGAUUUCCAUAUUGUAUUUUCUUGCCAUUGUAUUAAGCAUGUAAAAUGAAACUUGAAACCUACAUGAGCAAAGAAAAUGUUAACCUCAUACUGAGCACAGUAAAAGCAGCCUAAUGUCUGAGCAAUAAAACUUUCUGCAAGACACUAAAGAGCUCUCCCAUCUUCAUUUUAAUACAGUCUCAUGGAUGUCUUGUCUUCUCCAAAUUUACUUUAGUCUCAUUUAUGUCUAUUUGUAUGUUCCCUGGGCAAUUUUAUGAGGAAAAUGUGAAGUCAAAUCUGAAACCUAAAGUGGACACUGAUGAGAAUCACAAUCAUAAAUGCUGAGCUUAGUAAGAGCAAUCUCUGAGUGAAAACACUUUCUCUAAUUAGUGUUGAAAGAGAUUACAGCAAGACAAUAAAGAGAGUUUUAGGAGAAACAUCUGAGACACUGCUGAUACUACAACAAGAGCUAACUAAGAAUCUCAAUUAAGUCUCAGAUAUUUCUCAUGUCUCAGUUGUGUCUACUCUUAUUUCUCCUAAUCGAUUUUAGGAGAAACAUCUGAUAAACAGCUGACACUUAAUCAAGAAACAUAGGAGAAUCACAACUACGUCUCCUGAGCUUAGAAAAAGCAACCAAUGAGCAAAUAGUUUUUCCUCUGGGUUAGAAGAUUA